rnacentral:lncRNA from 1 species
CACAAACAGUUGGUGCCACGUAGGAGCAUUUGACAAAGAAACCAAAACACCAAAAAGGGCGAGCCUUUACCCUCCUCUGUUUCUUUAAUCCGCUGUUCGAAGAACCGUGUUUUUGAUGGUACAAACUAGUAGUUACCUCUGGGCCAGGUUGGAAAUGAUAUCAAUUUUUUAAACCACUAAUACUUGCCAAGAAAUCGCCUUAUGAGAAUAUGGUGUGUGUCUCUGACAAUGCAUGGCACAUCUAAAUUGUUCAUUCAUAAUUUUCUUUCCCUGCUUAGGUAUUGGAAGUGGCAACAGCCUGAGGCGCCUGCAUAUCAACUCCUUGUGUUCCCUGCACCCCAGGGCUGGGAUUGAUCCAGCCUCAGGCUGUUACCAUUCCCAUACUCCCAGGUCUCCAUGAAGAAGCUGGGACGCCUUCACACUUCAAGAUCCCAAAGCUGUGCAAACAGUGUAAGCUUAGAUCUUCUAGACAGGAAGGGUCAUUUCUCAUUUUUUUUUAAAUGUCUGCAACAUGGAUUCCAAAGCAUUUUCAGCAUCAAACACGAAAACAUUGAUGAAUGAGGAAUAAUCCCCAAAGCUGUGUAUCUGUAUAUAGCCUGACACAACACGUAUGUGGAUACAGAGUCAUUAUUUAAAGCACAUGCCAGGGAAAGAGACCCAAUUUCAAGGUCUUUUACAUAUAGUGACAUGGUACUAAGGAGAAUUCAACUCCUAUUGCUUCCUCUGAAGAUGAAAAAAAAAAUUAAAGUUGUAGUAACUUCGUAAAACUCACGACUGAGUCUGGCAAAACACCUGCAACUCUUGUAUUGAUCCAUUUUCUUGUCGAUGGAAGAAACCCUUCCACGUGGAUGCAAGUGGGAGAUGAAAACCUGCAUUUUUAAAGGACAAACAGUGAAUUUAAGCAUGAGUGGCCUUAAUAAAUAUAGUUGUCUUUUUUUGCUGCUGUGGAAAGGAUUCUAAACAGAUGUUCCUGAAGUCCUGCAUUGAAUUUAGUCAUUAUUACUUUUUAAAAUGUUGGUGCAAUUAACUCUGGACCUCUCUCGUGAGCCAUAGAGAUAUUAAAAGACAAACUUCUUAUUUGUUGGGGAAGAUAAAACCGUCUCUAAGCUGCACCCUUCCCUCUCGGUGCAUUAGGAGUCAUAUAUUCAAGCUGGUUUCUUGCUUCUGGCUUUGUUCUUGUCGUCAGGAUAGCAAACUAUGUAAAAGCUUUCGUGUUGCAUAAACAAUCCAAAUACAUUCAUGUUUAAAAAGUUUGUCCUUUAACUAUUCAAGGGAUCUAGGUCUCAGUUGGAGGAGUGAGCAGAGUUCUUUGCAAGCUUCUUUAGUACAUUUUGACACAAUGUCACACUGAAACCACAGGCCACAGACACAUCCCCAUGAACAGUUUGUCCUCACUGCCUCCUGUAACCAGGUCCUGGCCUGAACUCUGCAACUGAAUACUUGAAGUAGGAAGUACGAAAUCCAGUAGGGAAAGUAGGGUCCUUAAAAUAGGAAAAAAAAAUUUUUUUAAAUACAAAUAAAUACACCUGACCAUAAUAGUUAGCUAUUUCUAUGUCCGUGCCAAUUUUGUCACAGAUAUUGUUUGGGGGAUCAUUUUGACCCUACUUUUGUUGGUUGAAAGUAUGAUUGACCUUACCUAUAUGCAAGCAUCUAAUUUAGUCUCUUAAAAUUAAAUUCUAUCUACAGUAUCUUUUUCUCAUUUCAUGUCAUAUUCUCUAAUGUUUGGGGGUUGCACACACACACAAAAAUACCUUUCACACAUUGAAAAUAGCCUCUGGGUUUACAACAAACACUGUGAAGUUGGGAAGCUAUUUCCUUUGCACAAACUUUAGCAAGUUCCCUUCUAAUCAUAAUGCAGUUGGAAAAAAAAAAGUUUGGGCUAACAUUUAGGAAAAGUUGGUCUAAGUCUUUCUGUGGGCAGACGCAGGCUUGUGAUUUCUACCCCAUUUGAUUUCUAUGUACAGUCUCAAUUUUGUAUUUAAUGAUUUUUGUGUAUCCAGUGUGCACGUUUAACAGCGUGUCAACUUCCAUUUGAGAGUGGGUUUUACUUUUUAAACAGUGUUUCUGAUGAGACCUCAAACGUGUUGACAUCAGCUCUCUCUGCGACGUUUUUUUUUUUUGUUUGUUUUGUUUUUUUUGUGUGUGUAGAGUGGCGUUUGAAUGCUGCCAGGGGUCAGUGUAUCUACUUCCCUGAGACCCUCGUUUGAUAGUGCUUCUUGUAAUAUUUCUUCAAGUGAGUGGCAUGUGGGUUGUGAUAUUGACCAUGUGAUUAUGGACAUCGAUAUGAAAAAAAAUAAAAAUAAGGAACCCUGGAAACUACCAGUGGGCAUGUAUUAGCCAGUCAUUGUAACCUUGUGUCUAGUAGAAGUACAAUGUACAAGGUAUGUACAGUUCCAUAAAUUUGUUAUCAUGUGUAUGAGAAGUACUUUGUGCUGAUCGCCUUAUUUAUAUUCAUCAAAUAAACCUUGUUUUCUUUCUGAAAUGA